rnacentral:rRNA from 1 species
AAUAAACGUUGGCGGCGUGCUUAACACAUGCAAGUCGAGCGAGAAAAGUCUUCGGACUGAGUACAGCGGCAAACGGGUGAGUAACGCGUAGGAAUCUGCCUUUCAGUGAAGAAUACCCUCGAGAAAUCGAGGUUAAUACUGCAUACGUCUUGAAAAAGAGAAAGAUGGCCUCUUUGCUGUCGCUGAAAGAUGAGCCUGCGUACUAUUAGCUAGUUGGUGGGGUAAAGGCCUACCAAGGCGAUGAUGGUUAGCCGGCCUGAGAGGGUGUACGGCCACACUGGAACUUAGACACGGUCCAGACUCCUACGGGAGGCAGCAGUGAGGAAUAUUGCGCAAUGGGCGAAAGCCUGACGCAGCGACGCCGCGUGGAGGAUGAAGGUCUUCGGAUUGUAAACUUCUGUUAAGCGGGAAGAAAUGAGAGGCUCUAAUACAGCCUUAAGAUGACGGUACCGCUAGAGAAAGCACCGGCUAACUUCGUGCCAGCAGCCGCGGUAA